CUGCAAUGUAUAGGGACGGCCACGUUAUAAUAUGGUGGACGGAUACGGUUUCUACAGCAACGUUCAAGUACAGCGCCUGACAAACUUGUCAAGAGUUUUUAUUGCAACCAAUUUCGAUACUUUACUGGCCAGAAGGCAUUCCUGUGAACCCACUGUGCACGCACAAAAAUAAGUUCCUGCCACGUACAGAAGAUCCCCUUUGGCUAGAGCCAUGCCAGAAAGCCUUAUGUGGCCUGAAAGUGAGAAAAUACAGCGAGGAGCUGCUAACCGGCAGAGUGUCAGGCGUCGGCACCCCACCCAUCUGAUAUUAGUGACCUAUCCUAAGGAUUGGUCGUCAAUAAAAUAGUCCUGGAAAACCCCUUUAACAUAGCUGAAACUUAGAUUUUGAUAGGAAGGUUACAAGGUGACCAGUAAUGACCAGAAGCUCUGAAAUAUUAAAGAUAUAAAAUAGAAAUUCCUGUACGAAAUCUCAGAUACAACCAGUGUCUUAGGGUAGAGGACAGAAAAGAGAGACU